UUGUUGCACCUAGGAUCCUUUCUAAGCAAAGUGCAGUUUCCUGUUGAGGUCAAGUCUCAUGUAGAGCAAGAAGCCCCAUGAGCACUGCAUGGGGCACUACGUUGUCACUGGGCGAUGACUGACUGUUGCCUCCAGAGGCCCUCCUUGGUGAGGUCAAGGAAAGAGGAGCCACUAAGCAGGCCAGUCACUAAACCCACCUCAGGACUGCAGGAGAGGGAAAGGGGCCACUGGGCAAUUGGUAACUAUAGGAAUGGGACCAAUACACAAACCUCAGAUCAAGACAUUGGAUCUACAGCCACGGGGUGGGUCUGGAAAUUUAGGGACAUGGAUUACUAUGUCUUAGCAUAUAGGAACUCCACUUGCUUCAUCCCUAAGCAGAUCUUCCAUCUGUAUAUUUUGACCACAUCUUAUGCACUGAUGUCCCAGGUCUACCCUCCAGCCGUCUCCAGGCAUCAAUCUGCCAGAGCCUCCCUUUCCCCACCCUACUGAUACCUAACACUUAGCCUAUAAACAACAGGACAGUAGUCCAGGUAUGCCCAAAGCCAGUGGUGUGGAUUCUAGCGAGCCUCUGAGGUGGGGGAAAGAGGCCAAAUAGCAUGGCCCAGUGAUCUUUAACAAAUGGAAUCCCCCUGCCUUAUCUGGUUAUGAUGUCAGUGUGAUUGUGACAGACUGUGACCAUGACGACAGUGUGAUCAUGAUGAGAGUGUGAUCCUGAUGGCAGUGUGAUCAUGAUGAGAGUGUGACCUUUGGCAGUGUGGUCAUGACUACAGUGUAACCAUGACUAAAGUGAGAUCAUGGCAACAGUGUGAUCUAGGGUCUUUUCCCUUCUGAUCCAUGGAGACACUGGGUUUCCAGAAUUCAUCUCACCCUCCUUGACUCUUGUCUUCUCUUGAAGAUAAUGUUAACAAAAUUAUCAUAUCAUUUCCUCCCAAACUACAGCAUGCAAGCCUGACAGUGAGGUAAGGAUGGAGUUUAGGAUUUUCAGAACGCUUGUCAUUUCCCAGCAGUUAUUGCUUUGGGAUUUGGGACAUAAGAACUACUUGCUACCAACCAGACUACUUUCUGCAAUCAGGGGCACAGAAGUCAAGGUGUAUGAUCCACAGCUUCCUGAGGGCUUGAGGUUGAGAUGUGGAGAAGAUUGUGGCCACACCCCUUCCCUAUUGUAUUUUUUCUCCAAGUGAUGGGACAGCGCACAAAAGUAGAAGAGAAUGGCCUCAUGAGAUGCCAGGCAGCAGCCAAAGUGAACCACCACACAAGAAGACUGGGUAUCUUGCCCCACCCCUGCCCGAGAGCAUAGGCACGGCUGGGGCAGCUUCCUCAAUUCCCCAGCCAUCCUUCAACUGGCUCCACCCACUCUGAGGAUCAGCAGAAGUGUGGGGCUGGAGAGAUGGCUCAGUGGUUUAGAGCACUGACUGUUCU